rnacentral:rRNA from 1 species
AUUGAACGCUGGCGGCAGGCCUAACACAUGCAAGUCGAGCGGUAGAGAGGAGCUUGCUUCUCUUGAGAGCGGCGGACGGGUGAGUAAUGCCUAGGAAUCUGCCUGGUAGUGGGGGAUAACGUUCGGAAACGGACGCUAAUACCGCAUACGUCCUACGGGAGAAAGUGGGGGAUCUUCGGACCUCACGCUAUCAGAUGAGCCUAGGUCGGAUUAGCUAGUUGGUGAGGUAAAGGCUCACCAAGGCGACGAUCCGUAACUGGUCUGAGGGGAUGAUCAGUCACACUGGAACUGAGACACGGUCCAGACUCCUACGGGAGGCAGCAGUGGGGAAUAUUGGACAAUGGGCGCAAGCCUGAUCCAGCCAUGCCGCGUGUGUGAAGAAGGUCUUCGGAUUGUAAAGCACUUUAAGUUGGGAGGAAGGUCAGUAGCUUAAUACGUUGUUGAUUUGACGUUACCGACAGAAUAAGCACCGGCUAACUCUGUGCCAGCCGCCGCAGUAAAAC